GGCUUCGUAGCUCGGCCGGUAGAGCGUUUGCCUCUUUAAGGCAUAUUGUUUCCGUAGCUGGUUCGAAUCUAGCUGAAGCCC